rnacentral:lncRNA from 1 species
AUGGCCUGCCUGGGGCUUGGUGGCCGCUGGGACCCAGAGCUGGGGUUCGGGGCGGUGGUGCGGCUGCGAGGGCAUCGGCUAGAGGGGGCUUGCUCUGGGGGGCCCCCCCGGGAGCCUGGCCGGGGUGCUGGCUGCCGCCUGCCCCCAGGCCGGGAACAAUGCGGCCUCUAUCCCCCGAGCCGGCCAGCCAGGCGGGCCUCCCGCAACAUGGCGCCCGGGGCCGCGCCGCCUGUCCACGGGGAGGGCUGGCGCCCGGACCAGCCCGGCCCCCCGCGUCCUCCCCGGGCCGGCCUCGCAGUGGCCAGACGCCGCGGCCGCCCCCUUCCUCCCCCGCUGGGCCGGCCCCGGCCCCCUCCCGCCGGCGAUGGGUUUGGGGGUCCGGCCCACCCGCCGCUGCCACGUCUGCCACCCUCCCAGCACCCACGAGCAUCUUUCAAAAAUUCCCGGUGGGCGGGGCCGAGCCGCAGCGGCCGCCUCUGGCCCCCCCUCCCCGGCAGCCAGUGCCAGAGGAGAGCAGGAGACAAAAGUAGCAUUUUCCUCGCCCUCCUGGGCUGGCGGCGGGGCCUCCCCAGCGCCCUCGGCUCCUGGCCGGCCUGCCUCCGGGUUGCCGGGGUGGCCGAGGCCGCGGCCACGCCGGCCGGGACCGAGGGGACCGGUGGACGCCGGUGGCCACAGCCGAGGCGCCCGAGGGCUGGCGCCCGGGCCGGCCCUCCUCUGCCUGCCGCGGGGCCUGGCUGGGGCGACGGCCGCCGCCUUCACUGCCUUGCUGUGGACCAGCUCUCCGUCCUCCUGCGCCCGGCGUGGGGGUCCUGUUCGUGCAGGCCUGAGCAGCCGGCUGGAGCAGACACCACCAAAUACUGAACGGAGCUCGGCACACGCGAGAAGCGUCUGCGGCUGCUUUUGUUCUGAGAUCCGACAGCAGUCGCUCCUGGAGGAUUUGGGGCUGCAGAGACAGGCGCACGGAGCAGAGAUAAUUAAAACAUUUUCCUGAUGGUGACAGCCACAUUCUGCUGCUGGAAGCUGGAAGAUCAUUCCACCCAAAUAUUUAGCCAGCACCAGAUGAAACACGGGUGACAAAACGAAAGUAAUCGGGAAAAAACGGCAACAAAUUCUAGAGGCAGGAGAGUCCACGGUCCAGAGAGGGUGGCUGGGGGUUACUGGAGAGGAAGGUUGAUCAUUCUUAAAGAAUUUAUGCUUUUAAUAGCUGCCCAUUCCUCAUUUUAAAAAAAUUUUAUAUGAUAAAAUUAUAACUUUCUUGUAAUUAAAUGUAGAUGAAUAGGCCUUUAAUUCUAAAUCCUAGAGUGAUAGUCAAAUUUCCUGAGCAUUAACUCAUCUUCUUUUUGGACAAGGUAGCGCAAGUAGCAUAAAAUCAAUUAAUUUUCAUAAAUGAGCAUUUUCAUUCUAAAGUGGUAUUUUCCACCGAGAUUAUGUUCAUCUAAUGGUUUUAAUGUAUGUGAAUAACACAUUUUCCAGCCUACACCUUGUAUAGUUGGGAUAGUAAUAUGUGAUCAAUUAUCAUCUUCAUUUUUUAAUUUGGGGAAUCACACUGUACCUCUCCCAAGUCAGUAAAUUUCCACAGAAUCUUUUGUUGUUGUUGUUGUUUUAAUCAGGCGAAAAUAUCAGCAUUCUCCAUGGCACCCAGUACUUCUCAGCAGUAUUUUUUUUUUAAGAAAGUACCGCACAUAGCAGUUUUCACAUCAUCGCUUCUAUAUAAAUUCCACUAUAGACUGAAAUUAUACAUUCUCACAGCACAGAUGGGCUGGUCUGUCAUUAUGACUGCCGGGUCCUUGUUGGAACACACAGCAUAUUUCAAUUGUAGAGUCGACAAUUUCGAAGAACUGAGGUCAAAAUAAACAAGUUGCCUUUGUACA